GACGAACCGUGCGAACGUUAUUCGGAAUCACUGGGCUUAAAGCGCGUGUAGGCGGAAGGGCACGUCCGUUGCUGAAAUCCCCCGGCUCAACCGGGGAACGGGCACGGAUACGACUCUUCUGGAGGGGCGUAGGGGGACCUGGAACUUCCGGUGGAGCGGUGAAAUGCGUUGAGAUCGGAAGGAACGCCCGUGGCGAAAGCGAGGUCCUGGACGCCUACUGACGCUGAGACGCGAAAGCCAGGGGAGCGAACGGG
rnacentral:rRNA from 1 species